UCUUUCGUACAUCGCCAUGAGCUGGUUGAAAGUUUCGCCCUGGUACAUCUUGAACUAAAAAGAACACGAUAUCCAAUUUAUAUGAAAAGAGUUAAAAACCUUGACCUUUAAAGAUGGCGGCAAAAUGAAACAUUGGAGGAGUACCAACACAAAACACACCUGUUUCCGUCAUUUUACGUACCUUAUGCCUUGUUCUUGUGUUUGAAAAAUAAACAUCUUUUGACUUUGGGGUAUUCUAUCUGGAUUUGGGAUAUUGAGUUUAUGAAACGCAUUUUCAAUAUCUUCUUUCGUCGGAAUGCUGUACGAUCUGUGUCAACCACAAUUGAAAUGGUACGCAUCCUUAAUGUCGCAGAAAAAAAUGAUGCAGCCAAGUCGAUCGCUGAUGUCAUGUCUCGUGGUCAUUAUAGAAAGAGAGAAGGUUUCUCGAAAUUUAAUAAAAUAUAUGAAUUUGAGUCGUCUAUUUUGGACCACCAAAACUGUACAAUGACCUUUACUUCAGUAUCAGGACAUCUUCUUGCAUUGGAGUUUCCAAUACAGUAUCGCAAAUGGAUGUCUUGCAGUCCUGUAGAACUCUUUAAUGUGCCAGUGGAGAAGUACUGCCCCAAGGAUUAUGAAGACAUAAAGCGGACCUUGGAAAAUGAAAUAAGAGGCUGCCAGAAGCUUGUGAUCUGGACUGAUUGUGACCGAGAGGGUGAAAAUAUUGGAUUUGAAGUCAUCCAAGUGUGCCGUGCAGUAAAACCAAACAUUCAGGUGUAUCGAGCCAGGUUCUCAGAAAUUACACCGCACGCUAUCGCCAAUGCAGCUCGGAACCUGGUAAGGCCAGAUCAGCUUGUCAGUGAUGCUGUUGACGUCAGGAUAGAAUUGGAUCUUCGCAUAGGUGCAGCAUUUACCAGGUUCCAGACACUACGGCUGAAGAAAGUCUUUCCUGAGGCACUAGCUGAGCAGCUUAUCAGCUAUGGUAGUUGUCAGUUCCCUACAUUGGGUUUUGUGGUGGAACGUUACAAACAGGUGCAAGCUUUUGUUCCAGAACCUUUCUGGAAACUGAAAGUAACUCAUCUUUGUGAUGAUGUCAAGGCAGAAUUUGUGUGGAAAAGGAAUCGACUGUUUAAUCACUUGGCGUGUUUUGUAUUGUAUCAUCACUGUAUUGAGAAUCCUGUGGCGACAGUGGUAGAUGUAAACAGCAAGAGCAAAAAUAAAUGGCGCCCAGUUGCACUAGAUACUGUGGAAAUGGAGAAGCUGGUCUCACGCAAGCUUCAUAUCAAUGCCAAGGAGACCAUGCGUGUUGCCGAGAAACUGUACACACAAGGAUUUAUCUCCUACCCUCGCACUGAGACCAACAUUUUUCCAAAAGACCUUGAUCUUGUUCCUCUUGUUACAGAACAGGCACGUGAUCCAAACUGGGGAGAAUUUGCUCAACAAGUUUUGCAGCAAGGGCCUCAUCCUAGAAAUGGUAACAAGACGGACAAUGCUCAUCCUCCCAUACACCCUCUUAAGUACACCAAUCAACUCCAGGGCAAUGAGCAGCGUAUAUAUGAGUUCAUUGUGCGUCACUUCCUUGCCUGCUGUUCACAGGACGCUCAAGGCCAUGAGACAGUUGUGGAAAUAGAUGUUGCUGCAGAGCGUUUUAGUGCACAGGGACUGAUGAUCCUGGCUAAAAACUACCUGGAAGUGUAUCCCUAUGAAAGAUGGAAUGCCAAGGAAAUUCCCCUUUAUUGCAAAGGUGACAAGUUUGAUCCAUCCACCAUAGAGAUGGUUGCUGGUGAAACUUCGCCACCCUCAUUGUUGACAGAAGCUGACCUCAUUGCUUUGAUGGAAAAACAUGGCAUUGGUACUGACGCCACACAUGCUGAACACAUUGAGACCAUCAAAAGUCGUAUGUACGUUGGUCUGCGACCUGAUGGACGAUUUGUACCAGGACAUCUUGGCAUGGGACUAGUGGAAGGCUAUGACCAGAUGGGAUAUGAAAUGUCGAAGCCACAUCUUCGUGCAGAGCUGGAAGCAGACUUAAAGGCUAUUUCUGAAGGAAGAAAACAGAAGAAUGAUGUAUUGGUGCAGCAAGUGCAGAAGUACAAGGAUGUCUUCAUUGAGGCCUGUCGCCAGGCCCUGAAGCUAGAUGAAGCACUCUCUCAGUAUCUUGGGCAAGCACAGACCUAUACUCCACAUCCAGCCCCAACUGCCAGUGUUGUGAAGCCCUGUCCUCACUGUGGUCACAACCUAACUUUGAGAACAAAGAAAAAUGGUAAAGGCUAUUACAUUGGAUGCAGCAACUACCCUGAGUGUCGCCACGCACUCUGGUUACCAGACUUUGUUCUGGAGGCUGAUGUGGACUCUGAAAUCUGCCCAACAUGCCAACCAGGACCAGUCCACCUUCUCCGAUUCCGUUUUCGUCCUGGAAGUGUACCACCAACCAUUCCAAAUAACUUCACUGGGUGUGUUGGAGGCUGUGAUGAAAUGUUGUCAGAGACUCUUGGAAUCACGCGGUCUUUAGGUACUUACAACAGAGUCGCAGGAAAUACCAAUAACAGUGUCCACAGAGGAACUGGGUGUGGUACAGGCACACCCAAUGCAAGGUCUCUGUCAACCAUACCUAACCCCACUGUGUUUGCAACAUCACAAACACCACCUGCUGAUAGAAACAACCAGAGAGCUAGAGGGAACCCUGCAGGCCGCAUACCUCUUGGGUUAAUGGAUGCCAAUGCCCAGAACAGAGAAAGAGGACAGCAAGGAUCAGCUGCACGAUCUACUAUGGCUCCGGACUCCACCAUCGUCUGCAGCUGUGGACAUAACGCAAGACUUUUUACUGUGCGGAAAGAAGGUCCAAACACAGGUCGUCAGUUCUAUGGAUGUGGCAUGCCCCAGAAGGUCUGCACAUUUUUCCUUUGGGCAGACGAGCAAGAAACAGGCAGGCAAGGCCAUGCUGGGUAAGUUCUUUGCAUUUUACUUUAAUUUAUGUUUGUAUAAAUGGUGCUGAUGGAGAGAGAUGUCUAAAAUAUUUAUUCAGUUUGGUAAGCCUUGAAAACAUUCAGUUUUGACAUAAAUGCUUGACCAUUAAUUUAUCUGAGAUUUUAGAAAAAAUAUUUACAGCAUUGGUUUCCUUCAAACAGUAACAUUGGGUUAAAAUAUUUGUAUCAUUACUGCUUGCACCUUUGCUCUCUCAGGUUGUCAGUUAUGUACAUUUUGUCUUCUGUAAUCUCUUUCUGCUUGUGUGUGCAUAUGGGUGGUGGAAGGAACAGAGGGGUUGUCUGCAUGUAUACCUAUGAAUGUGCAUGUGCUGUAUCAAAAAUGUUUCCCAUACCCUUGUCCCUCUUC
rnacentral:misc_RNA from 1 species